rnacentral:rRNA from 1 species
AUUGAACGCUGGCGGCAGGCCUAACACAUGCAAGUCGAACGAGUGGCGGACGGGUGAGUAAUGUCUGGGAAACUGCCCGAUGGAGGGGGAUAACUACUGGAAACGGUAGCUAAUACCGCAUACCAUCGGAUGUGCCCAGAUGUGAUUAGCUAGUAGGUGGGGUAACGGCUCACCUAGGCGACGAUCCCUAGCUGGUCUGAGAGGAUGACCAGCCUCACUGGAACUGAGACGCGGUCCAGCGUCCUACGGGAGGCAGCAGUGGGGAAUAUUGCGCGAUGGGCGCAAGCCUGAUGCAGCCAUGCCGCUUGUAUGAAGAAGGCCUUCGGGGUGUAAAGUACUUUCAGCGAGGAGGCGUUACUCGCAGAAGAAGCACCGGCUAAAUCCGUGCCAGCAGCCGCGGUAAUAC